rnacentral:rRNA from 1 species
UGGGCGUAAGGGUGCGUAGGUGGCGAUGAAAGUUCGAUGUGAAAUCUCCGGGCUUAACCCGGAAAAGGCAUUGAAAACUCUGUCGCUGGAGGUUUGGAGGGGGGACUGGAAUUCUUGGUGUAGCAGUGAAAUGCGUAGAUAUCAAGAGGAACACCAGUGGCGAAGGCGGGUCCCUGGACAACACCUGACACUGAGGCACGAAAGCUAGGGGAGCAAACAGGAUUAGAUACCCUGGUAGUCCUAGCCCUAAACGGUGCAUGUUUGCUGUAGGAGGAAUCGACCCCUUCUGUGGCGAAGCUAACGCGAUAAACAUGCCGCCUGGGGAGUACGGUCGCAAGAUUAAAACUCAAAGAAAUUGACGGGGGCCUGCACAAGCGGUGGAGUAUGUGGCUUAAUUCGAUGCAACGCGAAGAACCUUACCUGGCCUUGACAUGCAUUUGGUAGAACCAUGAAAGUGGGACGACCCCGCAAGGGGAGGAUGCACAGGUGCUGCAUGGCUGUCGUCAGCUCGUGUCGUGAGAUGUUGGGUUAAGUCCCGCAACGAGCGCAACCCUUAUGUCCUGUUGCCACUCAAACGAGAGUUUGGAGCACUCUGGACAGACUGCCUCGCUUAAACGGGGAGGAAGGUG